UGGGGAAUUUUGGACAAUGGGCGAAAGCCUGAUCCAGCAAUGCCGCGUGUGUGAAGAAGGCCUUCGGGUUGUAAAGCACUUUUGUCCGGAAAGAAAUCCUUGGCUCUAAUACAGUCGGGGGAUGACGGUACCGGAAGAAUAAGCACCGGCUAACUACGUGCCAGCAGCCGCGGUAAUACGUAGGGUGCAAGCGUUAAUCGGAAUUACUGGGCGUAAAGCGUGCGCAGGCGGUUUGCUAAGACCGAUGUGAAAUCCCCGGGCUCAACCUGGGAACUGCAUUGGUGACUGGCAGGCUAGAGUAUGGCAGAGGGGGGUAGAAUUCCACGUGUAGCAGUGAAAUGCGUAGAGAUGUGGAGGAAUACCGAUGGCGAAGGCAGCCCCCUGGGCCAAUACUGACGCUCAUGCACGAAAGCGUGGGGAGCAAACAGGAUUAGAUACCCUGGUAGUCCACGCCCUAAAACGAUGUCAACUAGUUGUUGGGGAUUCAUUUCCUUAGUAACGUAGCUAACGCGUGAAGUUGACCGCCUGGGGAGUACGUCGCAAGAUUAAAACUUAAAGAAUUGACGGGGUCAUAGCUGUUUCCU
rnacentral:rRNA from 1 species